UUAAUCAGGAAAGAGCAACUUUGUUGGCGUUGCAUCGGUUGUGAAGACACAGUCGUGCACAGUUUUCACGAGGGUCAUCAUUGCCUUUGGACUUUUUCAGCCGGUUUGGAAAUUGGAAUAAUUUAACAUGAUUUUUUUUACUUUUUAUUUGUUCAUUUGUUUGUUGUCUGUCUUGUA